AAGCGGCUGUCACAAAGGCCAGACCCAAAUGCCAUGUUAAGAGAUGGAUGAAGACUAGGAACUGUAGAGAAGGGUAGAACCAGUGUUAACUUCAGCUGAUGUACAUGCUUCUGCCAAAUAAAACUGCACAGCAGUAAAACAGGCAGAGAAGAAAGAAUCAACAGCAAAGGUAGAACUGGAACCAUGGAAAUCUCCAGGAGAGAGAUGAGGAAACUGAGGUGAAGGAGAAUAUGUAAUUUGCUCAUGGAUACUUCUGCCUCUGAAUGUUUUCAGAAGAGUAACUUCUGCUCCUCUCUCUCCCAACCUUGUGGAGGAGUGACCUGAUGGCUAAAUUGAGAAUAGAACUGCAAUUCAUGGUUCUCUCUCUGUAAGUAACUGUCUGCCCACAAAGCAGCUGUGUUCCACCCGGCUUCAGCUUCCAUGGGCUGAGCACACUGGGUCAGGCCCGAGGCCCACCUUGCAGGCUGAGUCUGGAGGAAAAUCUCUGUCCUUG
rnacentral:lncRNA from 1 species